rnacentral:rRNA from 2 species
AGUCGAGCGACUGAUUAGAAGCUUGCUUCUAUGACGUUAGCGGCGGACGGGUGAGUAACACGUGGGCAACCUGCCUGUAAGACUGGGAUAACUUCGGGAAACCGAAGCUAAUACCGGAUAGGAUCUUCUCCUUCAUGGGAGAUGAUUGAAAGAUGGUUUCGGCUAUCACUUACAGAUGGGCCCGCGGUGCAUUAGCUAGUUGGUGAGGUAACGGCUCACCAAGGCCACGAUGCAUAGCCGACCUGAGAGGGUGAUCGGCCACACUGGGACUGAGACACGGCCCAGACUCCUACGGGAGGCAGCAGUAGGGAAUCUUCCGCAAUGGACGAAAGUCUGACGGAGCAACGCCGCGUGAGUGAUGAAGGCUUUCGGGUCGUAAAACUCUGUUGUUAGGGAAGAACAAGUACAAGAGUAACUGCUUGUACCUUGACGGUACCUAACCAGAAAGCCACGGCUAACUACGUGCCAGCAGCCGCGGUAAUACGUAGGUGGCAAGCGUUAUCCGGAAUUAUUGGGCGUAAAGCGCGCGCAGGCGGUUUCUUAAGUCUGAUGUGAAAGCCCACGGCUCAACCGUGGAGGGUCAUUGGAAACUGGGGAACUUGAGUGCAGAAGAGAAAAGCGGAAUUCCACGUGUAGCGGUGAAAUGCGUAGAGAUGUGGAGGAACACCAGUGGCGAAAGGCGGCUAUUG